UUCCACAGAGGAAGCGCUUGAUUGAGUUAGUUACGCACGUGGGACUGAGCAGUGGAUGGGAUUUCCUUUGCUAAAUGAUAGAAUAUGGCUGGGAUUAAGUGUCAGUGCGCGACCUUUUCCAACUAAAACCAUUUACCUGGGCAGGAAGAAUGUUUCUGGUUGUGUGUCAGAUCAGCAGAAGAUGUUCCCUUUUAAACGCCAGUAAUUGCACCCGUUUUUCAAGAGGAUUGAGGCACUCUGCCGCCCUCACCCAGAGGUUAGCAAGGAAAAAUGAAACGGUAGCAUAGAGACAACUGCUAGGCCAUUUAUGUGGGACAGAAAGAACAACGUGGAGCUCUGUGAUGCUGUUAAGAAGACACUUUGCUCAUCUAAGUACAGAGAGUGAUACAAGCGUAAUGUCUUCAGAGCAGAAAUUGCCAUCUAUCAAAUUAUAUCCACAGGAGACUCAAGUAUCACCUGGCACAAAGUUGAAUGCACUCAGCAAAGGUCUUUAAUACCAAUUAAGGAGAGACAUCUGUUCCUCAAGUGUUUGGGCAGAGCUGUAUAUGAUCCAACGAAGCCAAACUAUGUCUCCUUAGACAAACUAACAUUGUCUCCUGAUGAGAUCUUCUGUGUGGAAGUUGCCAAGGCAUCGGUGCAAGAUUAUGAGCAGUUCCUGAAAACUCUUUGAAUAACAAGCAAUGAGAGUAAUGAGAACUGUGUUUUCCUUGCUGCAAUUAGGCACCUGUAUAUAGUGUGUAUGCACACAUGGAGAAUAUCUAUUUAUCAUUCUUAUAAUGUCAGUUCAGUAACAUUGUAAUAUGUGAAUUUGUAUAUGAUCCUUGGCUUGUUAUGAAUAAAAAAUAUCCUCAGCGUU